rnacentral:lncRNA from 1 species
AUGCAGGCACUGCUACAAAUGCAUAGUCAUUCUCAUCAAUAUAAGAAAGAUGUGCCUGUACUAGUUUCUUCCUCCUGUGCUCUUUGUUUUAUUGUUGUUACCAAUUCUCUGUUGUUUGUUUGUUCCAUUUUUAGGACUUUGAAUCCUUCUUCUCUGCUAAAGAAGAAAAUAUUAUUUAUUCAUUCCUGGGUCUUGCUCCUCCUCCAGGCACAAAGGAAACUGAAAAGUCUGAUACCACUAAUGAAGCUGAAGCACACGCAGAAGACAGUGCAAAUGAAGGGACUCAUGAAGAGUCUCAGUCUGCUCAGUCACCAUCAGAAGAUCAACAGGUAAUUUUUUCCUUUUUUGCUUUGUGAUUUGAGGAUUUUACCUGUGCUAAGCUCAAGAAACGGAACCCUGCAGGCCCUCCUAAUGUAUCUUAGGGUGGGAAGACUGAUUGCAGAGUGCUCCUGUUUGUCUUUUGGAUGCAUUUUCUUUGACAUCAUGGUGAUAUUAAACAGAUAAAACUCCAGGGAACCCUGCUCUGAAUCAUGGAUAACAAUUGUCUUUCUAUAUCAGUUUCCCUUUGCUACUUGCUAUCAUAUGCCCUUUGCCACUUGCUUUCAUAUGCUUUUUUUUUUUUUUUUUUUAAAUGCUCACUUGGAUCUCAACUCUCAUUAUGGAGAAUAAUUUAGAACUAGACAUCUGAGUCCUAUCCAUGUGGAAAAAUUGGCUGCUGUCAAUGACCAGCAUCUGCAGUGCUUGUAAAUCUAUUUGUUAAUGUUUGUUGUCAGGUACCAGCAUUGGCUGCUGCCAUGGCAAGCCAUACCUGACAGUGUCUUCUCUAGCCCAUGCAGGAGCCCCUGCAGAAAUGGAGACCACUGUUAUCCUUCUGUGUACCUGCUGUGAUAUCAAAGCCACACAGGCAGAUCUCAAGCUGCAGUGCAAGAGAUUCUUGGACAAAACCAUCUUAGUUAUUUCAACUUCCUCAAAUAAUAGCUGCAAAACAUAACAUUUACAUUCCCAUGCAGUUAGCUGACAUCAGUAAAGUAGUUAUGGUUGAAAGCAUAGAUGGAUCGUGUGAAAAGGGGCAAUUCUCUUGUGUAGUCUUCUUCCUCAGUGGGAUGUUUGUGUCACUGGCCAGGAUCUAGACCAAGUAGAGUCUAAGCAGAAAUGGGCCCUGUGUCUGGAGACAGGAAUCCUGAUGCUUUAUUUCUCCUGCCGCUGUGCCAAUUUGGCAAGCCUACUGCUGAAUCAAGCACUUACACAUCUCAAAAAUACACUGUUUUUUUGUUUGUGUGUGUAAUAUCAGUAACAAAUGCAUAAUCUCUCACUAAUUUAUUUUUUUAAAUAAAAAUAAAUGUUGCAAUGUUAAAAAUAAAUGCUGCAAUGUUUUUCCAAAUGAAGUACCUCACUCUUUACAACUUUCCCCGUUCCCAGUUUUAACAAUGACUGAACCAUUAGGCUGGAAAUGCAUCCUUUUGCACAGCCUCACGUAAGUCUCAGGUACUGGAAGUCCCAUUUUACAUUUCAAAGUUGAUCCUACAUGAUGAUGAAAAGAGACACAGUCCGCAGUGGGAACUGAAAUUUCUCCUUAAAUUGUAUCUAAGCACUAUUCAUGUCUCUAUAAAUUCAGCCAGCACAUGAAUGCCGUCAAAUACCUUUUUCUUUUAAGAGAAAUGCCAACUUUUAAGAGAAACCCAGCACAAAACGGUAGUGCAUCCCCUGGCUGGAUUAGAUUACCUGCCGUUCUGGCUAGCAAUCUACUCUAAUGUUUUUCAAAUGAGAACAAACUGCUGGAACACGUCUGCAAAUAUGUCAAGCAGCUGUGUAUCGAGGCUUUGUGGUGACAGUGCAACACCACUUCUAUACAACAAACACCUUGCUCCGUUUCUCACGGAACAGAUAGGAGCUGUAAGUGGCAAACAUAUUGUCCUUUAGUUUUACAGGGAGGGGAGUGGCAGAGGAGUGAACACCGGGCAAGAGGGUGCAUUUGAACUGGUAGUUCUGUCGUUAUGAGGGCAUAAAACAUGGUUAGUCUUCCAAGUCCUCCUCUUUCACCUGCACGGUCUUGGCAAUGUUGAAAUGUUCUUACACGGUUUUACGUAAGGGGGAAGAAAAGCCUUCCUGAAAUUGCCUGGCUCUGGCACUCACCUUCAUUGUGCCAGCAGUGUACUAGCUCCUAGGGGAACAUAGAAUUUUUUCUGUUCCUGUCACACUCAUUGUUAGAGAGUAUACUCACAACUGCAGGCCGCAAGGUAUUAGUAGCUCAUGCCAAGGAUGAACAAAAAGCCAUCUUUCAUCCUGUUCUACCGCCCACUUCCAUGUCACAUAGGACAAAUCACUUCAGUGACGUGGCAUCUAUCUGCCUUGCCACAGUUCAUUGUAAUUAGCACUUCUGCAUGGAUGGCAUGAAUCAUUCUUUAGAAAUUCUGGUAUUUUCAUUUACUAUGGUGAGCAUGCAGAGGACUAGUUUAAAUGAGAAGAAUAACUUCUUCUCAUUUAGGUAGGAUGAAUUCUGUCUUUUGUGUCUGAAUCUCAUUUUUUCCCCUACAAAAGAGAGCUAGAAUAACAUUUCCUUAUGUGGCCAGGGUUUUAUGAAGGCAAAUGCAUUUAAAGAUCAUGAGACUGCCGUUGGAGUAUCUCCAUUGGAUGUUGGGCCCUAAAGGACACAUGAAGUAUCAGCACAGUAUUUUUAGUAUUUCCCUCUCCUCCUCUCAUUGUGCAGCCCAGCACGUCUUGUUUGACCACUUGACCACACUGAAUAGAUGUUUUCUGUUUGCUCUACCCACACAGGUUUUAUUUUAUUUUUUUCUUCUGGCUUAUUAAAAGUUGAUCUCUGUGUAUCAUGUUCUGAAAGGGUGACCUUUUUAUCAGUGGCCCGUGGUGUUUUGCAGCCACACGCUUUCAUCUUCUGAACUGUAGUCAGGUCCCAUUUGGAAUGUCAACUUCUUUUCAAAAACUCUCAGAUCAAAUUGAGGAAAUAUAAAUAAAUAUCACAAUUUUACAUUCAGCUUCUGAAUUAAU